AGCGAACGCUGGCGGCAGGCCUAACACAUGCAAGUCGAACGGACCCUUCGGGGUUAGUGGCGGACGGGUGAGUAACACGUGGGAACGUGCCUUUAGGUUCGGGAUAGCUCCUGGAAACGGGUGGUAAUGCCGAAUGUGCCCUUCGGGGGAAAGAUUUAUCGCCUUUAGAGCGGCCCGCGUCUGAUUAGCUAGUUGGUGAGGUAAUGGCUCACCAAGGCGACGAUCAGUAGCUGGUCUGAGAGGAUGACCAGCCACAUUGGGACUGAGACACGGCCCAAACUCCUACGGGAGGCAGCAGUGGGGAAUCUUGCGCAAUGGGCGAAAGCCUGACGCAGCCAUGCCGCGUGGAUGAUGAAGGUCUUAGGAUUGUAAAAUCCUUUCACCGGUGAAGAUAAUGACUGUAGCCGGAGAAGAAGCCCCGGCUAACUUCGUGCCAGCAGCCGCCGUAU
rnacentral:rRNA from 1 species